UACGUAGGGUGCAAGCGUUAAUCGGAAUUACUGGGCGUAAAGCGUGCGCAGGCGGCUUUGCAAGACAGAUGUGAAAUCCCCGGGCUCAACCUGGGAAUGGCAUUUGGGACUGCAAGGCUUGAGUGCGGCAGAGGAGACUGGAAUUCCUGGUGUAGCAGUGAAAUGCGUAGAUAUCAGGAGGAAUACCGAUGGCGAAGGCAGGUCUCUGGGCUGACACUGACGCUCAUGCACGAAAGCGUGGGGAGCAAACAGG
rnacentral:rRNA from 1 species